CCGACGGUGAGAGAUGAAAGCUGGGGGAACAAACCGGAUUAGAUACCCGGGUAGUCCCAGCCGUAAACGAUGUGCGUUAGGUGUAUCGGUGACCACGAGUCACCGAGGUGCCGAAGAGAAAUCGUGAAACGUACCGCCUGGGAAGUACGGUCGCAAGGCUGAAACUUAAAGGAAUUGGCGGGGGAGCACCACAACAGGUGGAGCCUGCGGUUUAAUCGGACUCAACGCCGGGAAACUCACCAGAUAAGACAGCUGAAUGAUAGUCGGGCUGAAGACUCUACUUGACUAGCUGAGAGGAGGUGCAUGGCCGUCGUCAGUUCGUACUGUGAAGCAUCCUGUUAAGUCAGGCAACGAGCGAGACCCACGCCAACAGUUGCU
rnacentral:rRNA from 1 species